AUUUUGUUAUAACCAUGUGAAUAAAAUAUCUCCCAUUAUUUGAACAUUUGGAUUAGUUUUCAAUGAAUGCAAAUUUAGUAAAUAUUUUUAAUAAUUAUUAUUUUUGGUUGUAUGAGUUUUAAAAAUCAGUGAAAAUGUUUUGUUCUCAUAAAAAUUGAUAACUAACUUUUAACACAAAAAAUAAUCAUUCGUUUUCAGUUACAAAAAAUAAUAAUUUAUUAUCCAUUCUGUCAUGAGUGUUAUUAUGGUUCAUAUUGGUGUCUCAAAGAAAAUCAUGGUUCACACUGAAUCAAUAAAUUCGUAAUUGUUGUAUGUUUUGUAUUUUUUUUCUGAAAUGGAACCUCAUCGCUUAUUAUAUUUAGUCGUGUGUGAGUUUAUAUUACGGGUGGGCAAAAAAACUGAACCGAACCAAACCAAACUGACCCAACCGAACCCAGCCGAUCCAAACCAAACCAAAGUAUAUGUGUAACCCGUUUGGUUCAAGAUUUUAUCAAACCAAAUGGUUCGGUUUGGUUUGGUUUUAAACCAUACCAAACCGAAACACCGAAGGGUUUUUUUUAAUUAGAUUAAUUAAAUAUACUAAUAAUAUUAAGAUUUAAUGUAUUUAACCAUUUAUCCUAAAUAACUAAACAUAAUUUUAUACAUUUUACUUUUAAACGAAUAGAAUAAGCACAACUAAAAAUAAAAUAAAGUAAAAGAAUAUGAAUCUCAUACAUUAACAUCAAAACGAAAAAGUUAUUUUAUGAUAUUUAUAUUAGGUAUGAAGAUAAUAAUAUAAAAUUAUUGAAUUACAUUUUCUACAUAUUUAUUGUGAUGUUUGGUUUUACGUUUAAAUAUGAAGGAAAUAAUGAUUUAGUAUCAAAUGAUAAUUUGUUUAUGUUUUUAUAAAUCAUAUUUUUGUAAUUGAACUAGAAUAAAACUAAAAAAUUAAUUCGAUUGAAGUGAAAAAUACAAAUUAAACCAAAUUAAACCGAACCAAACACAAACAAAACCAAAUUAAAGUUGAAUCGAACGCAAACCGAACCGAAAUAAAACCGAACCAAACCGAAUAAUUAAACCAAACCAUACUAAUUUGAAUUGACUUUGGUUCAAAAUUUCUUAGACCGAAAUAAUCCAAAUCAAACUGAACCCAAACCAAACCAUAAUUAAACCGAAAUGCCCUUUAUAUUAGGCAAUUCUAAUUCCAAAUCUAGAUGAAAGUAUUGUUAAUAAAGUAAAAUUAGAAAAAUAAAGAAGACAACAGUUAAACUAUUUUAAAUGAAUAAUAUAAAAUUAUAAAAAUAAAAUACUUUGCAAAAGAUCAAAGUAUUUAAAACUUUUGUUUCUGGCAGACCAGCUUCGUUUAAUGCGCCGGAGCUUUGCCUAUGGACAACAAACCGCUCCUUCACUUCUAACGGCUAUAUUUGUGGGGUCAAAGACACGGAUCACUAGAUCUGCUACGCAAAUUAACAAAGACAUUUACUUGAUGAAAUUAUACUCCAAAGUGGAAAGUAAUAAUGUAAAUUAGUAUAAUUUGAAAUUAGAAAGGCAAAACUUUAUUUAAUAGUAGUAGAAAAAGAAGAGAAGGGUUGUGCCGUACGAGGUUAAUGAAUACUGUAUGUUGACGUUGAUCUAUCUUUACUUCUCUCCUCUUUAAGACAGUUGUUGAGUGGUUCACGUGUAACCCGUUAGAUAUGUAGGCUUUCCACUUUUGAACUUCAAUUUUAAAUGUUCAUGUAUUUGACUAUAAACAUUUGUUUUUUUCAGAGAAUGUCAAGACUAUAUGAAUGACGUAUCAUUCUUAUGGGUACGACAGUAAGGUUGCAAGAAAUAAAUUUUACCUUAAACUCAACAUAAUAUGCCACCAAUAGAGAUGUUAAAAUGGAUUCAACUUAACAUAAUAAUUUUUUUAACCCUAAUACUGAAUUUUGUAACAUGGUUACACAUGGAUCAGAUAUAAUUAAAUACUGGACUUAACAAAGUUAAGUUUUUUUCUUCACUAAACAAGGUUAAUAUACUAAGAUUUUUUGUUAACAGAAAAUUUGUAAUCAUGAUUUCCUUUUAACUUGGCCCACCAAUCAUUUUAAAGAUAUUUUAGGGUCUGAUCCAUAAAAGUUGCGCUGGCCCAAUACCUUCAGGUCACGGGUUCGACGUCUCCUACUGCUUUUCUUUUCCUGGAUCAACAGUACUAUUAUUUUAAUCAAAUCCUAAGAAGACAGAGCACGACACACCUUCACGGCUUCGACGACGCACGUCUUCAUCAUCAUGUAGUCUUCUUGAUACUGGAACAUAGUGAACCUACACUUUGAACACUAUGUUUGAUUGAUGAAAGCCAUCACUGAAGAACCUGGUUGUGAAAAGACUCGUUUGAUAAUACUGUCUGAAAGUGUUAAAAAUGCUGGUAAGAGUUUUGUUUGUUCUUGAUCUGGGAAUGUGUAUAGAAAAUGGUAAAAGUAACGGGAUUAUUAUUCGUAUUAACCAAGCCUUUUUUGGUAUAGGACAGACUUGUCAGACAUACCUGAUGAAAAACUAAAGCAGCUUAAGAAACAAAGUGAAGUUGAAGUAGUUCCUCAUUCAGUUACUCUUGGCUAAAAUUAGAAACUAAACGCAAUUCAUACACAUUCAUUAGGAUUGUUCGUAAAAUGCGUUUGUAUUUUGGAGUUAUCAGGACGUUUGGAAUAGCUGUUUCUUCUGCAAAGCUGCGGUUUAUGUCCUAAAGAAUCUUCUCCAAGGUCUUUAAUCUAAAGCUGAUUUUGGUCACCAUUUCCUUGUUAUUGUUGGUGUUUUUUUUUUUUUGCUUUUCAAUGAGCUUUAAUACCUUUAUUUUUGGGUUCUGGUUAUUACUCAGGAUGUGCAGAAUCGAACUCAUAGGCUACUGAUUAAUACUCUUUAAGCGUUUCUUGGUUCUAUUAACCUUGAUACUUGUUUAAUUAAGUCCUGAUAUAAAACCUUACCUUCUGAUGUUGGUCUUUCCUCGCAGAUCACAUUUUUUGAAACAAUAGUUAAGUAUUGAAUCUCUUCUUGCAUGAUAAAACAAAGGAAGCAGAAAGUCAAGGAGAUAAUGAGGUGGGGAAAGACUGCAAGACUAUAGAAGGAAACGCAAAGAAGAGGUUGAAACAAACGUUGCUUCCAGUUGCAAAGCCAUGGGAACAUAUCGACCAUGUUAUUAUGAAUCUCCCAGCUAAUUCUGCCUUGCAGUUUCUCGAUUUUUUCAGUAAUGUAAUUCAAGGGAAGUAUUGGAAAGGACCUCUGCCUUUAAUUCAUUGCUACUGUUUCAUUCGUGCAAGUGAAACCACAGAGACUAAUUAUAGCAGAAGCGGAAAACUGCUUUGAAGUUUCACAUAGAAGACGAGGUCUUCCACAAAGUCAGAGAUGUUGCUCCAAACAAGGCGCUAUGUUUUGCCUAAGCUUUAGACUGCCUGAAGCAUGUUUGAUGAGACUAAAAAUGACAUUUUAUGGAAGAGAGAAGAAUCAAAACCAUCCGUUGUAAUUCUAGAUGCAUAGACUGUUCUUCAUAUGUUGUUAGAUGAAUAUUAUGUUUGUUUUUAGAUAAUGUUACAUGCGCUGGUUAACGUUAGAUAUAUAAUUUUAUAUGUACUAUAUACGAUUGAUCAACAUGUGAAUUCAAUUGUUUUAUAUUGUUUGGUU